rnacentral:ncRNA from 1 species
AGAAAAGCGAUGAAGAGCAGGAGUAGGUCAGGUUAUCACGACGCAGAGAGUUUUCGGGUGGUGAGAGAAAACGGGUGAUGACUGAGCGAAAGUAGGCUUGGAGCUGUAAAUGCAAUCUGAGUGUUUACUGGGUGCCCCCAUUAACAAGGCCAACGACUCCACAGGUGUGGGCUCGUUAAGACUGGCGUUAGCUAGUAAAACCAAGGUGGUACCGUGUAUCUCAAGAGAUGCGCCCUUCGA